rnacentral:lncRNA from 1 species
CAAAGAAAUGAGAUGCAUUAAUACACUUCACAGCAGUUAAAAGGAAAUAAAAUUGUAGGGCACUUUGAAGAAGUAAGGCUACUUGUAAUCUAUUUCCUGGUAGACCUGUUUAAGGCAGCACUUCCCAGUUCUAAAAUUCUACAGCAAUAAGUCACCCUCCUUUCUUUAAUUUAAGAGAUUGCCUGCCAGUUUGAUUGGAAAUAGUCCGAAGCCCAGCCAGCAAAGUGUUCAGCCCUUUUGUGAAGUUUAAUAUCUUUUUCUCUUUUGUGGCCAUUUAUUAAAUAACACUGCAUGAGAAUUCCUCCCUCCCUUUUAUCACAAUUUCCCCAGCACCUGCCCUUACUUAGCAUUUCAAAAAAGAAGAAAAGCAGCAGGCAGCAAUGAUUUAGCCCCUUUUUAAGCCCUGCUGUAAAAUCAAAUGUGGCUGAAUUAUAGUCUUAAUUUUUAAAUGUAUUCAACGUGAUUAAAUAUGAUUAAAAUACUAAGCUUUACUUAUCAGAAAAUAGCCUGCUCGUUCACAGAAAAGUGCUUUUGUGAUAAUUCCAUAAUACUAAGGAUUUCUGAGCUAUUAAAUUGCUUGGUAUCUUUAGUUCAUUCUCUUUGAUGUUUAAAAGAAAUACAUAAAUGCAUAAUGAGUAUAUGUAUAAAGAUAUGUUUAAAUACAAGUAAAUUAAUGUAAAGUAAAUCUAA